GCCGGCCCGCCUUGGGGUGACGAGGGAGCAGCUCUCUCCGCAGACCUCGCCAGAUGCGGCCAUUGUUAAGUCAGCCGGCUGUCAGCGCUCGAGGACCCCGGGGCACGAGCAACGCCCCCUCCCCUCCUGGCCUGUGCGCGGCCCCGACCGCAGGUGGAGGGGAGGCCGGGGCACGCGACCCCCGUGAAUCCUACAGCGGCAGGCCCGGCCCCGCAGCAGUGGUCCAUUCUCCCUGCCCUUCCCCCCUGGGCGCCGUCUUUUGACUUCUGGCGACCUACGACUCAUCUGACGUGGUCCAAGGUGCUGGAAACUUCCUAGCAAGACAUUCGCCAGCCUUGGGACCUCAAGGCUGAACAGACUUUGCAGAGCCACUCUAGGGAGGGAAGGAAGAUGUGCUUCCCACUCCCUGACCCCUCUCGACGCCUUGGGCAAAAUUUCCCAGAGCCACCACGGUGUUCUUGGUUCCUUGGAGCAGAAAGAUCUUGGGACCUUAUGGCGCUGAGGUUCCUCCAGGGCAGCCCCACCAGGGUGUGAAACCUCCAAGCUGUGGUGUCAAGCUGACCUUCGUUCCAGUCCCAGCCCUGGCCAGCUCUGUGACCUUGGCCCUUCACCCAACCAUUCCGAGCCUCAGUUUCCUCAUCUAUAAAAGGAAACCAGGAAUCCUACUCCCGGCAGCUAACAGAGAUGCUAACCGGCCCUGGACAGCUGGGGAAAUUGAACCACAAGUAACGAUCGAGGUCCCCCAGCUCCUGACCGCCUUCUUGUCCCUUUUUUGCUCUGCCGUUUGCUGUUUAACGUGUGUACUGGACAGCUUAUGGAUUAGGGUGUCCUUGUAAUAGAAAAGAACAAGCAGAGACUCCCGGUGGAGACGGCCAUGUGAAGACAGAAGCAG
rnacentral:lncRNA from 1 species